CUCCUAAAGAUGAUUUCUAUAACUGCUAAACUUAGCGAUUGUCACUGUUCUGUUUUUUAUUUUGCUGCUUUGAGAAACUUUAACCCCCAAUUUCUACCGAAUCUGGAACGGCUAUGAAAAGGCAGUAUCCGCCAAUGGUAGCUGAUCGUAACCAUUUAAGUUAAUGUGUCUGUUUCCACCAGCUUCUUUCCGUUCUGCUGUGGAUCAGCAGACUCUGCAGCUGAUCCCAAGAGUUCUAUUUUUCUGGACGCCGGAGCAUGCCGGAUAAAUUCGGCACAGAUUAACCCGUGCUGGAAAGGAAGUCGGGCACAGACACAAAAUAAAACAUCCGGCUUCUUUUCAAAAUAAAACACUCCGUGUUUCAGGAGGAUCGUAUUUCACACCAUGCAAACAGGCGGAGACGAACAAGUGAAAGGUUUUUAGACGUCAUUUCACCCCGAUGACACCAUGGAUGAGGAGAUGCUGAUUCUGGAAAUCUAGAAGUAGAUUUCCUCCUCUGGAGGGACACAAUCUACUGCUCAUAUGUUUAGACUAUGUGGCUGUCUUUAUAGACACAACCUGUUAUCGCACAAUUGCAAGUGAAUCCGCAGGUUCUUGUGAGUUCUCGCGAUUCCUGCUGUCCAGAAUCUGCCACGAAAUUCGCCUCACAAACAGAUCCGGUAGGAAUUGGCGUAUGGUGAAAAUUGUGUCCUGAUGUGGUGCACUACCUGUUUCACCCUCCCCAGCAGUCUGGUGCUUCCUUUGCUGUUUUCACAAAGAGCAGGAAAACUUCCGGCUUGUAAACACAGCAGUGAAUCAGUGAGGAGUAGAAUUGUUUGGGAAAUAUUGCUUCACAUCAUGUGUAAAAGGCCGGUAUGCUCAAAGUCAUCCGGAAAAGCAACAUCAUCUAUUUCCUUCUGCUGAUUCAGAAUCAGGUCCAGUUGACCCAGACUUUCUGUGCCC